AUUGAACGCUGGCGGCAGGCCUAACACAUGCCAGUCGAACGGUAACAGGAAGCAGCUUGCUGCUUUGCUGACGAGUGGCGGACGGGUGAGUAAUGUCUGGGAAACUGCCUGAUGGAGGGGGAUAACUACUGGAAACGGUAGCUAAUACCGCAUAACGUCGCAAGACCAAAGAGGGGGACCUUAGGGCCUCUCGCCAUCGGAUGUGCCCAGAUGGGAUUAGCUAGUAGGUGGGGUAACGGCUCACCUAGGCGACGAUCCCUAGCUGGUCUGAGAGGAUGACCAGCCACACUGGAACUGAGACACGGUCCAGACUCCUACGGGAGGCAGCAGUGGGGAAUAUUGCACAAUGGGCGCAAGCCUGAUGCAGCCAUGCCGCGUGUAUGAAGAAGGCCUUCGGGUUGUAAAGUACUUUCAGCGGGGAGGAAGGGAGUAAAGUUAAUACCUUUGCUCAUUGACGUUACCCGCAGAAGAAGCACCGGCUAACUCCGUG
rnacentral:rRNA from 1 species